AGUGAACGCUGGCGGUAGGCCUAACACAUGCAAGUCGAACGGCAGCACAGUAAGAGCUUGCUCUUACGGGUGGCGAGUGGCGGACGGGUGAGGAAUACAUCGGAAUCUACUUUUUCGUGGGGGAUAACGUAGGGAAACUUACGCUAAUACCGCAUACGACCUACGGGUGAAAGCAGGGGAUCUUCGGACCUUGCGCGAUUGAAUGAGCCGAUGUCGGAUUAGCUAGUUGGCGGGGUAAAGGCCCACCAAGGCGACGAUCCGUAGCUGGUCUGAGAGGAUGAUCGGCCACACUGGAACGGAGACACGGUCCAGACUCCUACGGGAGGCAGCAGUGGGGAAUAUUGGACAAUGGGCGCAAGCCUGAUCCAGCCAUACGGCGGGGGUGAAGAAGGCCUUCGGGUUGUAAAGCCCUUUUGUUGGGAAAGAAAAGCAGCAGGUUAAUACCCCGCUGUUCUGACGGUACCCAAAGAAUAAGCACCGGCUAACUUCGU
rnacentral:rRNA from 1 species